UAAAAAAAGGUAAGCUACUAAGAGCGAAUGGUGGAUGCCUUGACUGGUAAAGGCGAUGAAGGACGUACUAGACUGCGAUAAGCUACGGGGAGCUGUCAAGAAGCUUUGAUCCGUAGAUUUCCGAAUGGGGCAACCCAAUGUAUAGAGAUAUACAUUACCUAUAUAGGAGCGAACGAGGGGAAUUGAAACAUCUUAGUACCCUCAGGAAAAGAAAUCAAUAGAGAUUGCGUCAGUAGCGGCGAGCGAAAGCGCAAGAGGGCAAACCCAGUGCUUGCACUGGGGGUUGUAGGACUGCAAUGUGCAAGAGCUGAGUUUAGCAGAACAUUCUGGAAAGUAUAGCCAUAGAGGGUGAUAGUCCCGUAUGCGAAAAACAAAGCUUAGCUAGCAGUAUCCUGAGUAGGGCGGGACACGAGAAAUCCUGUCUGAAUCCGGGUCGACCACGAUCCAACCCUAAAUACUAAUACCAGAUCGAUAGUGCACAAGUACCGUGAGGGAAAGGUGAAAAGAACUGAGGUGAUCAGAGUGAAAUAGAACCUGAAACCAUUUGCUUACAAUCAUUCAGAGCACUAUGUAGCAAUACAGUGUGAUGGACUGCCUUUUGCAUAAUGAGCCUGCGAGUUGUGGUGUCUGGCAAGGUUAAGCAAACGCGAAGCCGUAGCGAAAGCGAGUCUGAAUAGGGCGCUUAGUCAGAUGCUGCAGACCCGAAACGAAGUGAUCUAUCCAUGAGCAAGUUGAAGCUAGUGUAAGAACUAGUGGAGGACUGAACCCAUAGGCGUUGAAAAGCCCCGGGAUGACUUGUGGAUAGGGGUGAAAGGCCAAUCAAACUUCGUGAUAGCUGGUUCUCUCCGAAAUAUAUUUAGGUAUAGCGUUGUGUCGUAAUAUAAGGGGGUAGAGCACUGAAUGGGCUAGGGCAUACACCAAUGUACCAAACCCUAUCAAACUCCGAAUACCUUAUAUGUAAUCACAGCAGUCAGGCGGCGAGUGAUAAAAUCCGUCGUCAAGAGGGAAACAACCCAGACUACCAGCUAAGGUCCCUAAAUCUUACUUAAGUGGAAAACGAUGUGAAGUUACUUAAACAACCAGGAGGUUGGCUUAGAAGCAGCCAUCCUUUAAAGAAAGCGUAAUAGCUCACUGGUCUAGUGAUUUUGCGCGGAAAAUAUAACGGGGCUAAAGUAAGUACCGAAGCUGUAGACUUGCACACAACUUAGAUUAUUUAAGUUUAGAAUAUGAGAAACUAAGUUAUAUGUUUAGUUAUAUUUUUACUGAUUUUUAUAGAGUAAAGAUAGAAAUAAAACUUAGUAAAAUCAGUAAAAAUAUUCUUAGGCUAAAGUUAAGUAGUUUAAGUUGUGUGCAAGUGGUAGGAGAGCGUUCUAUUUGCGUCGAAGGUAUACCGGUAAGGAGUGCUGGAGCGAAUAGAAGUGAGCAUGCAGGCAUGAGUAGCGAUAAUUAAUGUGAGAAUCAUUAACGCCGUAAACCCAAGGUUUCCUACGCGAUGCUCGUCAUCGUAGGGUUAGUCGGGUCCUAAGUCGAGUCCGAAAGGGGUAGACGAUGGCAAAUUGGUUAAUAUUCCAAUACCAACAUUAGUGUGCGAUGGAAGGACGCUUAGGGCUAAGGGGGCUAGCGGAUGGAAGUGCUAGUCUAAGGUUGUAGGAGGUUAUACAGGCAAAUCCGUAUAACAAUACUCCGAGAACUGAAAGGCUUUUUGAAGUCUUCGGAUGGAUAGAAGAACCCCUGAUGCCGUCGAGCCAAGAAAAGUUUCUAAGUUUAGCUAAUGUUGCCCGUACCGUAAACCGACACAGGUGGGUGGGAUGAGUAUUCUAAGGCGCGUGGAAGAACUCUCUUUAAGGAACUCUGCAAAAUAGCACCGUAUCUUCGGUAUAAGGUGUGGUUAGCUUCGUACUAGGAUUUACUCCGAAAGCGAAGAAACUUACAACAAAGAGUCCCUCCCGACUGUUUACCAAAAACACAGCACUCUGCUAACUCGUAAGAGGAUGUAUAGGGUGUGACGCCUGCCCGGUGCUCGAAGGUUAAUUGAUGGGGUUAGCAUUAGCGAAGCUCUUGAUCGAAGCCCGAGUAAACGGCGGCCGUAACUAUAACGGUCCUAAGGUAGCGAAAUUCCUUGUCGGUUAAAUACCGACCUGCAUGAAUGGCGUAACGAGAUGGGAGCUGUCUCAAAGAGGGAUCCAGUGAAAUUGUAGUGGAGGUGAAAAUUCCUCCUACCCGCGGCAAGACGGAAAGACCCCGUGGACCUUUACUACAGCUUGACACUGCUACUUGGAUAAGAAUGUGCAGGAUAGGUGGGAGGCUUUGAGUAUAUGACGCCAGUUGUAUAUGAGCCAUUGUUGAGAUACCACUCUUUCUUAUUUGGGUAGCUAACCAGCUUGAGUUAUCCUCAAGUGGGACAAUGUCUGGUGGGUAGUUUGACUGGGGCGGUCGCCUCCCAAAUAAUAACGGAGGCUUACAAAGGUUGGCUCAGAACGGUUGGAAAUCGUUCGUAGAGUAUAAAGGUAUAAGCCAGCUUAACUGCAAGACAUACAAGUCAAGCAGAGACGAAAGUCGGUCUUAGUGAUCCGGUGGUUCUGUGUGGAAGGGCCAUCGCUCAAAGGAUAAAAGGUACCCCGGGGAUAACAGGCUGAUCUCCCCCAAGAGCUCACAUCGACGGGGAGGUUUGGCACCUCGAUGUCGGCUCAUCGCAUCCUGGGGCUGGAGCAGGUCCCAAGGGUAUGGCUGUUCGCCAUUUAAAGCGGUACGCGAGCUGGGUUCAGAACGUCGUGAGACAGUUCGGUCCCUAUCUGCCGUGGGCGUAAGAAGAUUGAAGAGAUUUGACCCUAGUACGAGAGGACCGGGUUGAACAAACCACUGGUGUAGCUGUUGUUCUGCCAAGAGCAUCGCAGCGUAGCUAAGUUUGGAAAGGAUAAACGCUGAAAGCAUCUAAGCGUGAAGCCAACUCUAAGAUGAAUCUUCUCUAAGCUCUCUAGAAGACUACUAGUUUGAUAGGCUGGGUGUGUAAUGGAUGAAAGUCUUUUAGCUGACCAGUACUAAUAGAGCGUUUGGCUUAUCUUUAAUAAAGCAU
rnacentral:rRNA from 1 species